rnacentral:rRNA from 1 species
UACGGAGGGGGCGAGCGUUUAUUCGGAAUUAUUGGGCGUAAAGGGCGCGUAGGCGGCUCUUUAAGUCAAAGGUGAAAUCCCUCGGCUCAACUGAGGAACUGCCUUUGAAACUGAGGAGCUUGAGUCCGGGAGGGGGUAGCGGAAUUCCCAGUGUAGCGGUGAAAUGCGUAGAUAUUGGGAGGAACACCAGUGGCGAAGGCGGCUACCUGGACCGGAACUGACGCUGAGGCGCGAAAGCGUGGGUAGCAAACAGG